CCAGCCCGGCUGUACUCCCUCUAGACACAAGUCAAGAUUUCAAAAUGGGAUAUUCAUCGAUUAAUAUCAGACUACAACAAGAGGACAUGAAAAUGAGAUGGAGCUUGCUGGAAAAGUUGAGACGCUGGUGAGUAAAUACCCACUUACGGCACAGUUGAAGUUGGAGGCCUCACGAUGCCCAUCAGGAUAGCCUUCGCCUCUGCGGACAGGCAUUAGGAAGAAUGCAGUGCCUCGCGGGUAUUGACCGUAGAUUGGUAAUUUCAUUCAUUAGUAAUGUUGAUAGCCACUUUUAUGGAGCCUGGGCAAAACAUAUGUUGUACUGCGGGCAGUGAAAAGGUGCUGAGUGGAAAUAGCCCACUAGGUGAAAACUGUUCGGGGGCCUGAAGUGGCCAAUUUUCCACCAUUACCAGUAGCAAACUAGCAACCCUUGGAUCUUAAAAAGGCCUACCAUUUUCUCAGAUUGAUAUAUCCUUUGUAUCUCAACUCUCAAAAUGUCACAGUACACAAGUGCAAGAGAAUUUGCGUGUACCUUAAGUUAAGCAUUCCCACAAAGAAGCAUGUUCACAUUAAAAUUUUAUUGAUGCAACAAAAAGUGCAGCAACUUUAUACAGUCAACUAAAAGGUUCAAAAUAAGAAUUUACGAUAAAGGCUUUCAUAGAGCCAGGUUGUGCUGAUUGUGUUGGACAACAGCCUUCGUUUGAAUGACAUUACAAGCAUUAAAACAAAGAAACCCAGUUUCUAAUUGAAUGUACAUGGUAUUGUCAGUACAUAAAUGUCACAUCAUAUCAACUUUUAAACAUGUUGACUUCUUCUUUAGUUUUUAUUGCAUAGGUUGAUAAGUGUAAAUUUCGGCGCAAUGCAGUGUUUCCUGCUGUGCUGAUUUGUUCUAUAUUAAAAAUGACUUUCCUCCUAACAUCGCAGAACCCAAACAUAAUAGAAAAGGUGGGAUCCUUUGUCUUCCACUGUCUCGGGAAAAGAAGUGGAACCCAACAAGCUACAGUUUAGUGUUAGCUUUUAGACUAGAGUAGACAUAUUCCAUACUGUUGUACACUGUUUGAUUGUACACUUUCAUAUUAACUGCAAUUAGCCCUUGGGCAUGAAUUUGCAAUAAACAUACAUGUAAUACCGU